rnacentral:rRNA from 1 species
GAUGAACGCUGGCGGCGUGCCUAAUACAUGCAAGUCGAACGAGGUGCUUUUGUAGCAAUACGAGAGUAUCCUAGUGGCGAACGGGUGAGUAACGCGUUGGUGACCUGCCCCAAAGUGCGGGAUAACAGUCCGAAAGGAUUGCUAAUACCGCAUGUGGUUUUUGGAUUUAGAAACCAAUCUCUAAAGGAGCAAUCCGCUUUGGGAGGGACCUGCGUCCCAUCAGCUAGUUGGUGAGGUAACGGCCCACCAAGGCUACGACGGGUAGGGGACCUGAGAGGGUGACCCCCCACAAUGGAACUGAAACACGGUCCAUACACCUACGGGUAGCAGCAGUAGGGAAUAUUGGGCAAUGGGCGAAAGCCUGACCCAGCAACGCCGCGUGUGUGAUGAAGGCCUUCGGGUCGUAAAGCACUUUUCUGGGAGAUGAGAAAGGACAGUAUCCCAGGAAUAAGUCUCGGCUAACUACGUGCCAGCAGCCGCGGUAAAACGUAGGAGGCGAGCGUUAUCCGGAUUCACUGGGCGUAAAGCGCGUGCAGGUGGCGUGGUAAGUUGGGCGUGAAAUCUCCCGGCUCAACUGGGAGAGGUCGUCCAAUACUACCGUGCUUGAGAGCAGAAGAGGAAGAUGGAAUUCCCGGUGUAGUGGUGAAAUGCGUAGAUAUCGGGAGGAACACCAGUGGCGAAGGCGAUCUUCUGGUCUGUUUCUGACACUCAGACGCGACAGCUAGGGUAGUAAACGGGAUUAGAGACCCCGGUAAUCCUAGCCGUAAACGAUGUGAACUUGGCGUUGGUGGGUUAAACUCCAUCAGUGCCGUAGCAAACGCGAUGAGUUCACCGCCUGGGGACUACGGCCGCAAGGUUAAAACUCAAAGGAAUUGACGGGGGCCCGCACAAGCAGCGGAGCGUGUGGUUUAAUUCGAUGCUACACGAAGAACCUUACCCAGGCUUGACAUACAGGUGGUAGGGAUCCGAAAGGUGACCGACCCGCAAGGGAGCCUGAACAGGUGUUGCAUGGCUGUCGUCAGCUCGUGUCGUGAGAUGUUCGGUUAAGUCCGCUAACGAGCGCAACCCUCGCUGCGUGUUACAAGUGUCACGCAGGACCGCCGGUAUUAAGCCGGAGGAAGGUGGGGAUGACGUCAAGUCAGCAUGGCCUUUAUGCCUGGGGCUACACACACGCUACAAUGGGCAGUACAAUGGGUUGCUAAACCGCGAGGUGGAGCCAAUCCCCCAAAACUGUCCUCAGUUCAGAUUGCAGGCUGCAACUCGCCUGCAUGAAGCCGGAGUUGCUAGUAAACGCGCGUCAGCUAUAGUGCGUUGAAUACGUUCUC